rnacentral:SRP_RNA from 1 species
GCUGGGUGUGGUGAUGCAUGCCUGUAAUCCCAGCUACGUGGGAGGCUGAGGCAGGAGGAUCAUUUGAAGCCAAGAGUUCUGGGCUGAAGUGUGCUAUGCUGAUCUGGUGUCUACACUGAAUUUACCAUCAAAUAUGGUGACCUCCCGGGAGCAGGUAAAUCGUCCCAAGUUGGAAACAGUGCAGGUCAGAACUCCUGUGCUGAUCAGUGGCGGGAUCGCGCCUGUGAAUAAUCACUGUAUUCCAUCCUGGGCAAAAUAGUGAGACCCCAGCUCAA